rnacentral:rRNA from 1 species
AACGAACGCUGGCGGCAGGCUUAACACAUGCAAGUCGAACGCCCCGCAAGGGGAGUGGCAGACGGGUGAGUAACGCGUGGGAACACACCCUUUCCUGCGGAAUAGCUCUGGGAAACUGGAAUUAAUGCCGCAUACGCCCUACGGGGGAAAGAUUUAUCGGGGAAGGAUUGGCCCGCGUUGGAUUAGCUAGUUGGUGGGGUAAAGGCCUACCAAGGCGACGAUCCAUAGCUGGUCUGAGAGGAUGAUCAGCCACAUUGGGACUGAGACACGGCCCAAACUCCUACGGGAGGCAGCAGUGGGGAAUACUGGACAAUGGGCGCAAGCCUGAUCCAGCCAUGCCGCGUGAGUGAUGAAGGCCUUAGGGUUGUAAAGCUCUUUCACCGAUGAAGAUAAUGACGGUAGUCGGAGAAGAAGCCCCGGCUAACUUCGUGCCAGCCGCCGCAGUAAAAC